GCUUCCUCAUCCUCCUCUUCUGUCCUCCAUCGAUUUGAGCAGCGACGUGUCCUGGAGGCACGUGAGGCGCUGUGUGCGUCCAUCUGCACGGGAUGCAGAACAACUCUCCAUCAGCAAGGACUCAAACACGCACGCGGUCUCUGCCCCUGUUAUUGUUAUUCCCCCUGAAUCUCAUCUCCUCCUACAAUAAAUCCAGCGAGGGAGGAGGCGCGCCGCCGCUGAGAUUAAAACCUGAUGGAGGGUGUCUGAGCGAUGUGUGGAGGAAGGCUUUGAGAUGAGCUGAGGACACACACAGCGAGACUACAGCGAGACAUUUAGUACGUACAGGCUGAUCGGCUCCAAACCCAAUCAAUGGUUUCAGAACAACACGAGCAGUAUUUUGUGUCUCAGAGGUUGGUGGUUUGAGGAAGAAGAAAAAAGAGCAGCAAUCAGUCUCAACUUUCUCAAUAAGAACUGUUGUUACGACUCUUAUUCAGCUUCUGCAUCAAGACUUUCCAACUUCCUCUGACCUCGGGGUUUUUUC
ensembl:lncRNA